rnacentral:rRNA from 1 species
UCGAACGGCAGCACGGGGGCAACCCUGGUGGCGAGUGGCGAACGGGUGAGUAAUACAUCGGAACGUGUCCUGUAGUGGGGGAUAGCCCGGCGAAAGCCGGAUUAAUACCGCAUACGCUCGAGAGAGGAAAGUGGGGGAUCUUCGGACCUCACGCUAAAGGGGCGGCCGAUGGCAGAUUAGCUAGUUGGUGGGGUAAAGGCCUACCAAGGCGACGAUCCGUAGCUGGUCUGAGAGGACGACCAGCCACACUGGGACUGAGACACGGCCCAGACUCCUACGGGAGGCAGCAGUGGGGAAUNUUGGACAAUGGGGGGCACCCUGAUCCCAGCAUGCCGCGUGUGUGAAGAAGGCCUUCGGGUNNGUAAGCACUUUUGUCAGGGAAGAAAGGGCAUCCCUAUAUGGAAGCUGAUGACCGUACUGAAGAAUAGCACGGCUACUACNUGCAGCAGC